AUGCCAGAGACCCCCUCAAGCCAAUGUAAUACCCCAAACCCAACCCCCACGACUUUCACAGGGUUUCUGGGAACAGGGGAGGAUCCUGCCCCAGGUGAGAACCAAUGAAACGGAGGGUUGCCUACUGCUCUCUCCUCUUUGCAAGAAUUCAGUUCUCCAAGGAAUUAGGAAAGAGCAGAAUCGAACUGGGGACAGCCACCGGUAGGAGAAGAUUUCUGGCAUCUGAACCUCAUUUCAUAAGAGCCACCUUUGAGAGAGAGUUCCGUCAACCAACUAACCAGCCAAUUAGAAUCCAUCAUUGAAGCUCGCACGUUGAACCAUGGAUUGAUGACCAUGCUUCCUUCUUUCCCCCUCAGGUCCCAAAGGGGGGCCUACAGAAUCGUUUUCAAGUGGAAUAUGAGUGGUGGUUUCCCACAGUUAAGCAGAGGAGUUGAGCUCAGAAACUCAGUUCUUCUCCGACUUUGUAAGCUCAGUGUUUCGGAAUCAUUCACUGCCAUCUGCCUUCACAGCCUCCGGGAAACAAGGAACAGGAAAGGAGAGAACAAUGGAAUCCAUGGACCGGUGGGUUGCCCCCUCAGCUCUGCCUCUUAAAGAGUCUCAGAACAGUUACUAAACCUC